rnacentral:rRNA from 1 species
UACAGAGGUCUCAAGCGUUGUUCGGAUUCAUUGGGCGUAAAGGUGCGUAGGCGGCGCGGUAAGUCGGGUGUGAAAUCUCGGAGCUUAACUCCGAACUGCAUUCGAUACUGCCGUGCUUGAGGACUGGAGAGGAGCUGGAAUUACGGUGUAGCGGUGAAAUGCGUAGAUAUCGUAAGGAGACCAGUGGCGAAGGCGGUCUCUGGACAGUUCCUGACGCUGAGGCACGAAGGUCAGGGAGCAACGGG